GAAAAAUAGAGAGAAAAGAAAACCAAAAACCAUUUCUUGGCUGGUUUGAAGAGAUUCUAAGGAGAUCCAAGUGAAAUCAAAGCCAAAGAAGUGGAUUAAGCUUAGUUUUGGUCUUUUUAUGAUAUUUCUUGGUGGUUUCCAAGUGGUUUGAGGUUUAGAAAAGCUUGAAGAGAUUGUUUUCGCCGAAAAGUUGCUCGGAUAAGAACAUCAACACCUAAGACACCACUUGUUACACGGUGAAAUAUAUUUUCGACAGAAGGUAAGUAAAG